ACACUACUCUCACUCGGUGCAGCUUGUGCUUUCCCCACUACUGGUUUUGGAGCCUCACCGCUACCAAACAAGUAACCCAAUGAACUCUGCCCUCCACCGCUGCUAACUCCACGACCCAUAUCUCAUAUUCGUCUAUGAUCAAAAGUUACAAGCUUAAUCUGGGCAAUGCAGAUGGGAAGUGACAAUCAGAACCUGAUCAAAUACUAAAUUCUGUAUGUCUAUGUAGAAAUUCCAAGAGAAUACAAACCAAUAGAUAGCCCUGAUUUCAACUAUGUAGAGAAUCUUAUUUCCUCCAACUUUAAUUAUCCAAACAAAUAUCAACUUUCAGUUUCUUAAACAAUAUUUUGCUUUAAUCUAAGGCUGCGGGAAACCAAUAAUCAAAAAUUAAGGAUCCCACUAUAUAAACAUCAGUAUUAACCCAAUAGGAAAUGGCUGGCAUGAGCAGCAACUUUGAACAUCAAUAAUUAUGCAGAACUGAAUUUAUUCUUCAUGAAUUUAACUAAUUGCAUCAACCAUAAUUGCAAUUACAACUCCAUAAAUAUGAUACAUAACACUCCACCAGAAAAGAUCAUAGCCCACAAAUCAAAUCAACAGCUAUAUACAAUUGAGCAAACAAUUCGAAAACAUAUCACGCAUCAGUAAAGUGAAAUGAGUUGGAUUCAAGAACAUACUUUUCUAAUUACCUUUCACCUUUUCUUGAUCAGAUCUACCGUAUGGAGCCAUGAAAAGUAUUAUGGAGCACGAGGUUACUGCUUCCAGUCAUUUAUUGAAUCUUCCAGGGGGGCUGGCAAUGUAGAAUUUGGAAUUUAGCGGAAGGACA
rnacentral:lncRNA from 1 species